CCUACGGGAGGCAGCAGUGGGGAAUAUUGGGCAAUGGGCGCAAGCCUGACCCAGCAACGCCGCGUGAAGGAAGAAGGCUUUCGGGUUGUAAACUUCUUUUGUCAGGGACGAAGCAAGUGACGGUACCUGACGAAUAAGCCAAGGCUAACUACGUACCAGACGCCGCGGGAAUACGUAGGUGGCAAGCGUUAUCCGGAUUUACUGAGAGUAAAGGGCGUGUAGGCGGGACUACAAGUCAGAAGUGAAAACCAAGGGCUCAACCUGUGGCCUGCAUUUGAAAAUAUAGUUCUUGAGUACUGGAGAGGCAGACAGAAUUCCUAGUGUAGCGGUGAAAGGCGUAGAUAUUAGGAGGAACACCAGUGGCGAAGGCGGUCUGCUGGACAGCAACUGACGCUGAGGCGCGAAAGCGUGGGGAGCAAACAGGAUUAGAUACCCGAGUAGUC
rnacentral:rRNA from 1 species